rnacentral:rRNA from 1 species
AUGAUGGGGAGCAACAACCCCGGCGGCGCUGGGGGAGGGGGAGGGAUGGCCCCGGGCACGGGGGCCGGCGGCAGCGACGGGCGGCACGACGACGAGGCCGUGCUCACCGAGUUCCUCUCCUCCCUCAUGGACUACAAUCCCACGAUCCCGGACGAGCUCGUGGAGCACUACCUCGGCCGAAGCGGCUUCCACUGCCCCGACCUACGCCUAACAAGGCUGGUUGCUGUAGCUGCUCAAAAGUUCAUUUCAGACAUUGCAAGUGACUCUCUUCAGCACUGCAAAGCCAGGGUUGCAGCACCUGUCAAAGAUAACAAGAGCAAACAACCAAAGGAUAGACGUCUUGUAUUGACAAUGGAUGAUCUUUCAAAAGCCUUGCGUGAGCAUGGUGUUAAUCUGAAACAUCCAGAGUAUUUUGCGGACAGCCCAUCAGCAGGGAUGGCCCCCUCAACAAGAGAGGAGUAG